UACGCAGGGUGCGAGCGUUAAUCGGAAUUACUGGGCGUAAAGGGUGCGCAGGCGGCUCCGCAUGUCGGGCGUGAAAUCCCCGGGCUUAACCCGGAAAGGUCAGCCGAUACUGCGGGGCUAGAGUGCGGUAGGGGAGACUGGAAUUCCUGGUGUAGCGGUGGAAUGCGCAGAUAUCAGGAGGAACACCGAUGGCGAAGGCAGGUCUCUGGGCCACUACUGACGCUGAGAAGCGAAAGCAUGGGGAGCGAACAGG
rnacentral:rRNA from 1 species